UUCUGCCACCAGUAAGGGAGCAGAAAUAUGAAGAAAAAGGAUUGCAAAAGCCAUGAGACAAUCUUCAGCACUUUUACUGACUGCAGAGUCAUCAGCCGAAACUGCACAACUGAAGUGCGAGGAACUUUGAUCACAUCAAAACUUUGCAGAACGCAGGUAAAAUAUGUCCCUGUCCUCAUUAGUGCAGAGGCAGAGACCUCACUCCAUGUGCAUUGGGAGUACCUAACAGUAGAGAUUUUGAAUGAAUAGAAACCAAACCAUGCCCUUUGUACAGACAGCAUAUUCGGACUUGGCUUGGGAAGAAUUUGAGUUUCAGUCUCUAGCACACAGUGCAGAUUGCAGGUUUACAGAUAAAUGCUGUCCAGCUUUGCUGUAAAAGUGGUGUGCUCACUCCACAUUUGAACUGUCCUGGAAUUUUCAAACUGGAAAUAAAAUUUCAGGUACA